rnacentral:rRNA from 1 species
GACGAACGCUGGCGGCGUGCUUAACACAUGCAAGUCGAACGGUGAAGCGCCUUCCUUUUUGGUGGGUGUGGAUGAGUGGCGAACGGGUGAGUAACACGUGAGUAACCUGCCCCCUUCUUCUGGAUAACCGCAUGAAAGUGUGGCUAAUACGGGAUAUUCUGGGUCUGUCGCAUGAUGGGUCUGGGAAAGAUAUUGUUUCGGUGGGGGAUGGGCUGGCGGCCUAUCAGCUUGUUGGUGGGGUGAUGGCCUACCAAGGCGGUGACGGGUAGCCGGCCUGAGAGGUUGGCCGGCCACACUGGGAGUGAGACACGGCCCAGACUCAUACGGGAGGCAGCAGUGGGGAAUAUUGCACAAUGGGCGCAAGCCUGAUGCAGCGACGCCGCGUGAGGGAUGGAGGCCUUCGGGUUGUGAACCUCUUUCGCCAGUGAAGCAGGCCUGCCUCGUUUGUGGGUGGGUUGACGGUAGCUGGAUAAGAAGCGCCGGCUAACUACGUG